GAUGAACGCUAGCGGCAGGCUUAACACAUGCAAGUCGAGGGGUAAGGUAGCAAUAUCUGAGACCGGCGCACGGGUGCGUAACGCGUAUGCAAUCUACCUUUCACAGAGGGAUAGCCCAGAGAAAUUUGGAUUAAUACCUCAUAGUAUAAUGAUUUGGCAUCAAGACAUUAUUAAAGUCACAACGGUGAAAGAUGAGCAUGCGUCCCAUUAGCUAGUUGGUAUGGUAACGGCAUACCAAGGCGACGAUGGGUAGGGGUCCUGAGAGGGAGAUCCCCCACACUGGUACUGAGACACGGACCAGACUCCUACGGGAGGCAGCAGUGAGGAAUAUUGGACAAUGGGCGCAAGCCUGAUCCAGCCAUGCCGCGUGCAGGAUGACGGUCCUAUGGAUUGUAAACUGCUUUUGCACAGGAAGAAACAACGCUACGUGUAGCGUCUUGAUGGUACUGUGAGAAUAAGGAUCGGCUAACUCCG
rnacentral:rRNA from 1 species